CGGUCUCUCAGACAAAGACCGGUUCCCGAACGCGAAAUUUUCUCUGCCUGGUUGUGCAGCUUUCGGGGACCGGUCUCCCCGAGCAGGGACCGGUCCCUCACUGCGAAAAUGGCCCAGGGAGGGCUGUUUCAGAAAAUGAAAAGUUGAGGGGGCUAAUUGCAAAAUGGCCUAUAUGAGGGCUUGGGGACCUCUUGCUCUCCCUCAGCUGCUCACUCUCUCUCUCACACCUUUCCCUCUCUCUCUCUAGAAAGGAAAAGAAGAAGAAGGAGAGGAAGGAAAAGAAGGAGAAAGAGAAGGAGAAGACUAAGAAGAAGGAGAAGAUCAUCUUCUUCUCCCCCUCUUCAAGCUUGGAGCUUGGUAUUGAGGUAAACCUCAAACACUUUAAUGGUGGAUUUUGGAAGUUAGGGUUUUAUAGCUUGGAAUUGGUUCAAAUGGAAUCUAUUGAAGCUAGGGAGAAGGUUCGAGCUCGAAAUCGAAGCUCGCACCGCGGAUUUCUCCAGUAUUGAGAUCUAGGGCUCAGAAAUGGGAUUUUGGCGAAUUUAGGGUUUUGAUCUAAAUUGAUGGGUCGCAAACCUAAUUGCUAGGUCUCUGAACGCGUCGGCGAAGACGGUUCGUCGAUCCGUCGAGUAGGUGCGGAGUUAUCGCCAAGAAGACCUUCGGAGCUUCGUUUUCGCUUGGAAGGCCAACGAGGCGUCGAAACGUCGGCGAAUCGCAAUCGAAGAGUCGCGGCAUCACCACGAGGUGGGGGAGUGCCAUCCCGAAGCAGUCGGGCUGCUCUUUAUGUCUGAGUAUUAUUAUCGAUCAUUUACAUAUUGUGACUUAGCAUUAUAGGGUGUUAUCUGUAAUUGUGCAUAUCCUUGCAUGCUAGUGAUGUAUAGGUUGUAGAUACCAUGAAUGAAAACCUAGUAUGCAUGAGUUGAAUACUAUGAGAUAGUUCGCCCUAUAUAUGUUUAUGUAAAUGUGUAUCUAGUGUAUUGGAAACUAGUGUAUCAAGAACUUAUCAAGAGAACGAGUGGCAUCUAGUUAACCCUAAACAUUGAACGAGUGGCAUUAAGUAGUGCAAGAGCGGCAUGAGAACCCUAGUAUAGUUGAGAUACUAUGUUGCUAUCACCCUGGUUGGAUAGGGUGUUCCCAGUUUAUGAGAUUGGAUCGAGCUCACUUAGCCUGUCUGCACCUGUGGAGGUAGCUCCUCACAGGUAGUGCACUCCGGAGUUUGGCACGCGAGGGGGCCAGUGUAGUGCCCUUGGACCAGUGUAGUGUCCGCAGGCGGUCUCGGGGUUGGUGAAUAGCUAGCCACCUCCCCUAUGAGACUUAGAGACGUGAGACUGUGAGCGAACUUUGCGUUCGCCGAGAGAUUGGGUAAUCAGAUAAGUCAUCUUGUCGUUGAACAUGGUAGUGAGUUAGUCAGCCUUCUUACCCUGAAUUUCAUGCAUGCAUUUCACUGGAUUAAGGCAUUGAUAGAUUAUAGUUGCUUAUUACUGUAUUGCUUUCAGUUUCGUAUAUCUAUCUAUCUGCAUAUCUAUCUGUGCCUGCUUAAGACCUAGUGGGGAGAUCGGCGGAGUCGGCGGCCGAACCCACUGGGAACUAUUCGUAGUUCUCACUCCACCACACUGCAGGUCCGAGCUCGAGCGUCCCGGGAGAGGAUCGCGGCAAGGGCGUAGCGCCCUAGAGGUUCAUGUUUUAGUUAGCUAUCCUCCUUUUUGCAUUAGCCCUACCCUGUAUUUAUGUUCGAGCGUAGAUGUUGUAUAGGGUGAGGUUGAGAGGAUUAUGUAUACAUUGUACAGUUUUGGAAGAAUACAAGUUGUAAUAAUUGUAUAAAGUUAAAU
rnacentral:lncRNA from 1 species